CUACACAUGCAGUCGACGGUAACAGGUCUUCGGAUGCUGACGAGUGGCGAACGGGUGAGUAAUACAUCGGAACGUGCCCGAUCGUGGGGGAUAACGGAGCGAAAGCUUUGCUAAUACCGCAUACGAUCUACGGAUGAAAGCAGGGGACCGCAAGGCCUUGCGCGGACGGAGCGGCCGAUGGCAGAUUAGGUAGUUGGUGGGAUAAAAGCUUACCAAGCCGACGAUCUGUAGCUGGUCUGAGAGGACGACCAGCCACACUGGGACUGAGACACGGCCCAGACUCCUACGGGAGGCAGCAGUGGGGAAUUUUGGACAAUGGGCGAAAGCCUGAUCCAGCCAUGCCGCGUGCAGGAUGAAGGCCUUCGGGUUGUAAACUGCUUUUGUACGGAACGAAAAGACUCUUUCUAAUAAAGAGGGUCCAUGACGGUACCGUAAGAAUAAGCACCGGCUAACUACGUGCCAGCAGCCGCGGUAAUACGUAGGGUGCGAGCGUUAAUCGGAAUUACUGGGCGUAAAGCGUGCGCAGGCGGUUAUGCAAGACAGAUGUGAAAUCCCCGGGCUCAACC
rnacentral:rRNA from 1 species